CCUACGGGUGGCAGCAGUGGGGAAUAUUGGACAAUGGGGGGAACCCUGAUCCAGCCAUGCCGCGUGUGUGAAGAAGGCCCUCGGGUUGUAAAGCACUUUCAGUGAGGAAGAACGCCUGGUGGUUAAUACCCAUCAGGAAAGACAUCACUCACAGAAGAAGCACCGGCUAACUCCGUGCCUGCAGCCGCGGUAAUACGGAGGGUGCGAGCGUUAAUCGGAAUUACUGGGCGUAAAGCGCGCGUAGGUGGCUUGAUAAGCCGGUUGUGAAAGCCCCGGGCUCAACCUGGGAACGGCAUCCGGAACUGUCAAGCUAGAGUGCAGGAGAGGAAGGUAGAAUUCCCGGUGUAGCGGUGAAAUGCGUAGAGAUCGGGAGGAAUACCAGUGGCGAAGGCGGCCUUCUGGACUGACACUGACACUGAGGUGCGAAAGCGUGGGUAGCAAACAGGAUUAGAUACCCCUGUAGUC
rnacentral:rRNA from 1 species